rnacentral:rRNA from 1 species
UGGGGAAUAUUGCACAAUGGGCGAAAGCCUGAUGCAGCAACGCCGCGUGAGUGAUGAAGGCCUUCGGGUUGUAAAGCUCUGUCUUCUGGGACGAUAAUGACGGUACCAGAGGAGGAAGCCACGGCUAACUACGUGCCAGCAGCCGCGGUAAUACGUAGGUGGCAAGCGUUGUCCGGAUUUACUGGGCGUAAAGGAUGCGUAGGCGGAUACUUAAGUCAGAUGUGAAAAUCCCGGGCUUAACUUGGGAACUGCAUUUGAAACUGGGUAUCUAGAGUGCGGGAGAGGAAAGUGGAAUUCCUAGUGUAGCGGUGAAAUGCGUAGAGAUUAGGAAGAACACCAGUGGCGAAGGCGACUUUCUGGACCGUAACUGACGCUGAGGCAUGAAAGCGUGG